rnacentral:rRNA from 1 species
CUAAGAAUAUUCCGCAAUGGACGAAAGUCUGACGGAGCGACGCCGCGUGGAUGAAGAAGGCCGAAAGGUUGUAAAGUUCUUUUGUUGGGGAAGAAUAACCAUGGGAGGGAAUGCCCGUGGGAUGACGUGAACCGACGAAUAAGCCCCGGCUAACUACGUGCCAGCAGCCGCGGUAACACGUAGGGGGCGAGCGUUGUUCGGAAUUACUGGGCGUAAAGGGCAUGUAGGCGGUCUUGUAAGCUUGGCGUGAAAGACCACGGCUCAACCGUGGGAUUGCGUUGAGAACUGCGAGGCUUGAGUGACGGAGAGGGAGCUAGAAUUCCCGGUGUAGGGGUGGAAUCUGUAGAGAUCAGGAAGAAUACCAAUGGCGAAGGCAAGCUCCUGGCCGACGACUGACGCUGAGGUGCGAAAGUGUGGGGAUCAAACAG